rnacentral:sRNA from 1 species
UGCAUUUGAAGCCCAUGAGGAUGAGAACCUCCGGGGGCGGGGAGGUUCGACUCGAGCGAAGCGAGAGAACGUUGCGCCAGCAACGGCCCGCAGGGCGAGCCACGAAGUGGCGAGUAAUCCUCUAUCACCG